CCUGCAGCGGGGCUGGGCGGGGAACCCGGAGCUGGGGCCGUUUCCCGCAGCCUGUUUCAGGCGCCCCCUGGCUUGCAAGGGGCGGGAUCCGGUGCUCGCUUUGCAGCCGUGUAAACGAGGCCGGGACGGGUCCAAGGCGGGGCCGGGAUCACAUGAGCUGAUGCGGUGAGGAGCGGUAGCUGGGCCUGAGCGAGCCAGGCCGCCCCGCGGACAUGGGGCAGGGCGGGAGCCAGCCUCCCCCGGAGGAGAGGGUGCGGCCCAUUCGGGAAACCCUGGACAGGGCGCGGCGGCUGCAGCAUCUCGCUGCUUUCGGGGAAAGGCCGGGGGGGACGCGCCCGUCUCCUCCGGCCCUGAACCGGCUCCCGGACGAGCUGCUGACGCGGAUCCUGAGCUGGGUCCCGGGCCGCGUCCUGCUGACCCGCUGCCGGCCGGUGUGUCGCCGCUGGCGGGACCUCAUCGACGGGCCCACGGUCUGGCGGCUGCAGGGCGAGAGGCGGCCGGGCUUGGGGGCCACCCUGGCGGCCGCCCGCCUCUGCCCCGCGCCGCGGUGGAGCCGGAUCUGCCUCCUGGAGCCUUUCGGGCGCAACCUGCUCCGGAACCCCUGCGGGCAGGAUCAGUUCUCUCACUGGCAGGUGGAGCAUGGGGGCCAUGGCUGGCAGGUGGAAGAGAACCGCUGCCUGGUCGAGGGUGCCCCGGCCCAGACCUGCUUCGUCUCAUCCUUUCGCUGGUGCGUCAAAUCGCAGCUGGUAGAUCUUCUAGAGGAGGGGUUGUGGGAAGAACUGCUGGAUACCUACCAACCGGAAAUCUACAUCUCCGAUUGGUGGGGCGCCCGAGAAGACUGUGGCUGUGAAUACUCCAUCUGUGUCAAGCUCCUGGCUGCUAACAGAAGUACUGUAAUCGCUGAAUUCCAGGCCAACCCCGAUCCCGUACAACAAUGGAAUGACCAGCAAUAUCACCAGGUGUCCCACCGGUUCAGGCAGUACGGCCGCGGAGUGCGGUAUGUGCAUUUCCUCCACCAAGGGAAGGACACUCGUUUCUGGGCAGGAAACUACGGCGCACGGAUCACCAACUCCACUGUCAUGGUGAAGCUCAGCUGAGAGCCAGGAGCGGGUCCCCAUGAAUCUCUCACGUGAGCCGGAAUGAUGAUCUCCAUUUGCCUCCGCGAGCUCCUCUCCUGUCUGAGAACAAAUCAGGGGGAUGCAUCUCCUUGAAAUAAUACACCCCUUUGCCUGAGGAGCUUUUCCAGUCCGUUCUUUCUGGCCAGGCUCGUCCUGCGCAGGACCAAAGAGCACCGUGGCGAAUCUUUAGGUUCCUAGUACCUGACUUCAGUCAGUGUGAACCUGCCCCUGCACAGCAGAAGCAACAAGUCUUUGAGUUUUUUCUGCCAGCUGAUGCCUGUGGUGUUGCCUGUCUGAUGUGUAUCCAAAUUCACAGGCAGGUGAGCAAAAUACCCCUCCCACCUCCCAUGCUACUUAGAUUGCAUGGUUCUGGGGAAGGGGGAUUAGAACCCAGCUCCUGCAAGCUAUGGGUAGUGCAGUGCUCACGAGAAUACCAUACAGGGCAGACCCUAGACAAACAUAAACAGCUGCUUGUUCAUUGUCCAGGAAUUUAUGGGAAACAUAAUCUUCAGGUCUGUUCUCACUGCACUCGGAUCCCAGCAAAGCUGGGCGUAGUAGCCACUCAGACCUUUUGCUGACAUACACCAAGGGUCGGAUUCUGAAGUAACUGACGGGUGUCUAAAUCUGGAAAGACUCCAGUGGAGUGACUCCAGUUUCACACAGGUCUACAUGAGACCAGAAAGGGGGUCUAGCAGUGCUUUGGUGCAGUUCCCUCCCCAUUUUGGGGGGGGGGCGAGGAGUGGACUUUGCCUUACACCCACUUGUACUAACGCAUGAUCACGGGGCAUGGGCAGGGGGUUAUAGGUGGGAGUCGGAGAACCCACUCCCAGCAGGGGUUGAUGGGGAAGACCCUUUUAGGGGACUGGGGAGUAAUUUGAGCCACAUGGUCCAGCGACGGCCUUCAGUGCGUCAGCUGGUCCUGCGUGUAGUCAUCAGGAUGGGUCUCAGCCCUACUACUACAGACAGGCCAGAACUUCCGCUGAUAUUAACCAAUUCCUGCUAUUGAUGUCUUUGCUCGCUUACACCAGCAGGGGAUAUCGUCCUGUUGACUUGGAGGCGUGAUGCUGGGGGAUCUGGUGCUCUGUUACCUCUCUCAAAAAAAA